GAGUAUGUGGUGGAAAUGGAAGACACGGCAGUUUACCAAACUGCUGCCCUUCGAAGGGUUUGCGGGUUCGAAUCCCGUCACGCAUU
rnacentral:tRNA from 1 species